AUGUAAUAAAUAACCUCAAAUGCCAAGAUUAUUCCAUACUCUUUCUCAUAUCUGGAUGUGUCAGAGUUCUCUAAGGACCUCAAGGGAUCCGAGCAGUGCUCACACCUAGAUUUCAUAGCCAAGACCGAGUAAGUGCAGUAUGAAAAGGCCAUCUUUCAUGUGUCCAAGUUCUGGGGGAGCUCAAGGAUCCCAAGGCAAGUCUCACACAAAAGGGGAAGAAUGGUCUAAGAAUAGAGUAAGAGUGCUUAACGUAGUUUUGAAGAACUUAGUAAAAUAAUGUUGAGGUAAAAAUUUUAGGAGUAAAAAAGUUUUCAGGAAUAGUUUCUUUUAAAGAUACUAGGAGUUAUCAGUUUUGAGAAGAAUGCUAAGAGUAUGAGCAGCAAUUUUGAAAUCAUUCUUUGAGAGAAGCAUACUCAGUAAACAACCCAAUUAAUCAUAGAAUACCUAGAUUUACUUGACAAGAACACUUACAAACAUGGGUGAAAGGGAUUGGGAACAUAUAGGUUUUGAAACCACAUAAAUAAGGAAACAUUAAAUAUAACAAAUAUACAAAAACAGCUAUGAGUCUAUUGAAAAAAUCAGUCAUGGUAACAAACAUUUGAAACAUAGGGACGAAUGCAGCGGGAUCAUAUUAAAGACAAGUGUUUUGCUAAACGAAAUUUGAUAUACCAUUAGGGCCAACAGAAUACACUAGAAGACUAAGUAACAACAUGGUCAUACCAGUUAAGGGAGGGGUAAGGGAACUAAGUGAACAUGCUGGAAAAGUACCAAAGAACUAAGCAAAAUCUGAUAUAAUGAUUACACAUAAGGUAGAAUUUAGACAUGCUUAAUAACAACAAACAUCGAAACAAAUUGAAUAACUAGUAUAGGAACAACCAUGGAUGUAUAGGCAUGGAACAGAUAAAGUUGAGUUUCAGAAUUGAACUAGGAACAUAGCAGUAAAGGAAGCAAAAUGCAGAAAGUAAAGCAAGUAGAGCUCCAUAGUCUAGCCUUGGCUUGCAGCCAGCUAGACAAGUAGUUAGCACAAGUAGCAGAGAAAGAAGAUAGAGUUUGUGUGUGUGUGUGUGUAUUAUGAAUUAUUGUUUGUGUGUUAUGCUAGAGAAAGUGUAGAGUAUUUAUAGUUUGAGAAAAAGAAGGAAAAUAAGGUAAUAAAUACUGAGUUAGCACCAUUGUAGAAAUAAAACAAACAAGAAUCAAUUAAAGAUCAGGACUCCAUUGAAUUAUGGAGUUAUAGCUCAAACGGGCACAAUUUAUAUCAAAUAAGGAAAAGAAUUGCUUAUACGACUGAUUUUACCAUGAUAGGAGUAGUAAGAACAUGUAGCAUGUAAUAAGGACUAAGUACAUAAUAUUUUCAUGUAAGAUAAGUACACGUUAAAUAACUAACAGCAUAGGUGGGCACAUAAAUAGGUAGAGCACAAUUUAAAUUCUGAUAAUUGAUUCAAAAAUCAUGAAUGAGAUUGAAAAUCAUAGGGAAUUAGAACUAACUAAGGAAAGUAUCACAAAAAUAAGGAAGAAAUUCGAAAAAUAAGUACAAGAUUAUAAGGAAAAUACACAAAAUCAUAUAUUCGGGGAAUAUAUUGCAAGUCUAAGGAGAUGACACAAAAAUCAAUAUAAAUUAACAUGUGAACAAUCAAUAAAACAAAUAGUUGGACCUAUUAAACAAUAAAUAACAUGUUUGAACAAAAUCGAAGAAAAUCUGAAAACUUAUUAGAGUAGGAAGCACAACAGUAUAUAGAACAUACAUGAAACCUAAAAUGUUUAUGACAGACAUGCAAGCACAUCACAAACAGACUCAAAUAUCAAAUAGAACCUAGAAGUAUUAGGUUUCUUAACAAAAAUGAAUCGAGCAAAAGGAAAGACUCAGGUGAUGCUUAAACAUGUUAAAAAUCAUAAAGUAAUUGCUAAAAAUCAGAAAGAAAUCAUUUUUUCAAAAUGGUUUUGAAACCCUAGUCUGGUAAAUAAAGAAAUCGUUUGAAAUCAGAGAAAUAUUUUGAGGAAAAAAGGUGAGAACCUUAAAAGACACAUAGAUCCAUCACAUAUCUAAAAAGAUCGGAGGAUUUAUAGCUAUAGUUUCUAGAGAAAACCCAAAUGAGGAGAAGAUGGCUUAAAUAUCACUGACCUUUGGCUGGAAAAUGUAGUGAUCUUACUUAAACUUCCAUAGGUGGCCAAAAAAUAUAGCGAAAGACCAUGGAUAGGAGUUGAAUUGCUCCAGGUUGACCUAAGGACCUCAGGGCAGUGUCAAACUGUUGUAGGGUGAAGCAUAGGCCAGAAGAUGAUAAGAGGCCAUGGUUUUUGGUGAGGGAGGUGGCCAGAAAAGGUGGACAGUGAUAGGGUUUGAGGGUGUCUGAGAGAGAAG
rnacentral:lncRNA from 1 species